CAAAGCUUCUGGCGCUCUGGUACCCCGCGCUUACUCUCCGGGGCCAAGUGCAGAAAACAGCCCAGGGCAGCAACACCUCACCCCACCCAAGAAAUAAUUCUCAGCUUUGAGCUCUCAGAUGCCCAGGCUUUGGAGCUGAGAGAGACCACAAGUCCAGCUGCUCAGCGAGGCUGGUCGUCUGAAUGCAAGACCGCCCAGAUCACAGCCGCCUCCUGCCCCGCUGGGCGCUGAUGCGCUGACUGAGAGAAACCGAGCACUGCAGAACCCAGAGGGGUAGGGCUGGGGCAGGGAGCAGAGUUGACACCUGAAGAAAUAAAAGCCCUGAUUUACCCA
rnacentral:lncRNA from 1 species